rnacentral:rRNA from 1 species
CCUACGGGUGGCAGCAGUAGGGAAUAUUGCUCAAUGGGGGAAACCCUGAAGCAGCCACGCCGCGUGGAGGAUGAAGGUUUUCGGAUUGUAAACUCCUUUUGUUAGAGAAGAUAAUGACGGUAUCUAACGAAUAAGCACCGGCUAACUCCGUGCCAGCAGCCGGGGUAAUACGGAGGGUGCAAGCGUUACUCGGAAUCACUGGGCGUUAAGCGCGCGUAGGCGGGAUAGCAAGUCAGAUGGGAAAUCCUAUGGGUUAAACAUAGAACUGCAUUUGAAACUGGUAGUCUAGAGUAGGGGAGAGGUAGGUGGAAUUCUUGGUGUAGGGGUAAAAUCCGUAGAGAUCAAGAGGAAUACUGAUUGCGAAGGCGACCUGCUAGAACAUGACUGACGCUGAGGCGCGAAAGCGUGGGGAGCAAACAGGAUUAGAUACCCUAGUAGUC